GCAGGGCCCAAACGAAGUUUUCUCUUCUGAAUAGUGAGUGAUGCCAAAAGCACGCAAGGAUAUUUUAAAGACGCAAAAGCCUUGACCAAUAUCAAGUGCAAUUCUGCUGAUAGAGCUGUACGUAAGUCGAGAAGGCAUCUUUCCUCAUAAAAUCAAACGAAAGGUUACAAUAGUACUUACUUACUUCAAAGAUGCGUUGUACGCUCAGGAACUUGGCAAAACUCACAGUCGUCAUUUUGACGGUGCAUAUCCUCGUAGUCGCUCUUUACUCUGUUCUGCUUCAGCCAAAACAACAGCAAUUACACCGAGCAAACCUGACUAUUGGCGCUAAAGGAGAAGCCUGUUUGGAGUUAUAUUGACACGAAACCUUUGUAAAACGAUCGCGUGAGAUGCGAA